AGCGCUCCUGGAGAGGCUGUGGGCUUCUGGCAUCAGCGCCGAAGCUGCGUGUAUGGCAGGUUUCCUACCUGGUGUUCAUUGCCGUUAAUUCAAGACUGCUGCCACCCAGGCACGUCUCUGUGUCCCGCCGCUCCCUCCACACCCUCGGCACUGCUAGCAGUAAGAAUUUUUGCAACGACACUCGCUUCAGCAAGAGAUCUGCUUCCUUAGAACCCUAGCUGUCUGACUUUGAACCUGAGGAUGACUGCACUUACCCCAUGUCUCUGCUCAAGUGCUGGGAUUACAGGUGCUGGGAAGCCAGAAUUUUGUCACUGGUGAAGAUAAACUUUUAAGACCUGCCCCAUAGACUGUCCUACUCAAGAUUCACCGGCACACCAGGAUAUCCAUUUCCAUGGACACCUUUGGGAGGCAGUUGGAAAGCCUUGUGGUUGCUGGGACUCAAACCCAGGAUCUUAGACAUACAAAACCAUUGCUCUACCACUGAACUAUAUCUCUGGCUCUGAGGAAGAUACCUUUGAAAAAAUGUUGUAAAGUUUGCCACAUGCUAUCUGUGAAUGACCUCAAAAGAGAAGAGGAGGGGACUCUCAUCAGUGAUAAAGGAUUCUGAGGAGUAAUGCGUCCGUGAAUAUCUCAGACAGAGACGUGCACAAAGGAACAGGUAUCUCACUCCAUUAGAACACAGCUUGUGGGCAUUGACAUUAAGAAUGUUGAUGAAAGAUUUAUAGUGAAGAAGCUAAAGAAUACUCUUGUCAUCAGGAGGAGGAAUGAGCCUGAAUGUAGCAGUGUCCUCUGCUUUUCUAACCCAUGUCAGAAAAGUUUGUGAUAACCCCAAGGAAGGUGCCUCAGUAAUGUUGAAAUGCCCCAUGUGAGACAUAACCUAUUUUUCGAUUGGAAAUUACAGGUGGACCACAGUGAGCAUUGAGUAAAAAGCUUCAUCCUUGCAAUAUGGGGUCCGCUGUUAUGGAAUCUGUCUAGAAAUGGAUCCGUUAAAAACUGCGUUGUGGAUCAACAUUCAGUGAAUGUUGGGAAUGGAACUCAUGUUGCCCAAAGAGGAUGUCGAGGAAUGUUGCAAUAUGCCUGGUGCAAAUCACAACUUGGGAUCUCUGAUAAUUGUGAAUGAAAUUAGAAGGCAACUGAUUGUUUCCCCCCCAGAUACAAAGAGUGAAGGAAAUGUAGUGAAUGAGCUCUCUGUCUUCUGCGGAGCACACAAUGUGCCUUCAUAUACCCUUAGCUUUUCAGUAUCUCAUCACUUUGAAUGUCACUGCUUUUAUGGAGAUUUCUAUUUACCGGGUUGGCCGACGACAUGCUUUCAAUUCUAUCUGGUAGAUGUUAAAAGGCUCAAGGAGCAGAAAUAGCACAAGACGGACUGAAGAGCUGAGUGGCAAUGUAGACUGGAGGGACCAUAUCCAGGAGACAGUGUCCCAUCCAUCCUCCGAGCUGCCGUAGCCGUAAACUGUCAAUCUGGCACCUGAUACGUGUCGGUCUGAAAUGCAUGAUGGGAGAUCCAAAAUGUUAGGAACUGCUGCUUUGGAGAAUGAUUAUAAAAUCUUCUUUUUAUAUUAGAGGUUUGGAGGUUGUAAACUCCCAGUUUCACAUUAUUUUCCAUGAGUUUGAGGAUUUUUUUGUUCCGUUCUUUGACACAGGGUUUUGUGUGUAGCUUUGCGCCUUACCUGGAAGUUGCUGUGUUGACCAGGUUGG